AUUCCAGCUCUCAUAGUGUAUAUCGUUGCUGCUGCGGUUAAAAAGCUCGUAGUUGGAUCUGCGCUUGAGAACUUGGUCCACCAUUUUGGUGCUGAACUAAGUACAUCUCAGUGUUUACCGUUUAGCUGGUUCUCCUAGCGUUGCCUUUACCGGUCGCGUUAGGUGGCUAGCAAGUUUACUUUGAAAAAAUUAGAGUGCUUAAAGCGGGCUAUCGAUGCUUGAAUAGUGGUGCAUGGGAUAAUAGAAUACGAUUACGGGUCUAUUUUGUUGGUUUUCUGAUCUGUGAUAAUGGUUAAGAGGGACAAACGGGGGCAUUCGUAUCGCUGCGCGAGAGGUGAAAUUCGUGGACCGUAGCGAGACGCCCUACUGCGAAAGCAUUUGCCAAGAAUGUUUUCAUUG
rnacentral:rRNA from 1 species